CCAACAGGGAUUGCCUCAGUAACGGCGAGUGAAGCGGCAACAGCUCAAAUUUGAAAUCUGGCCCCAGGCCCGAGUUGUAAUUUGCAGAGGAUGCUUCGGGCGCGGUGCCUUCCAAGUCCCCUGGAACGGGGCGCCACAGAGGGUGAGAGCCCCGUCAGGUCGGCCGCCAAGCCUAUGUGAAGCUCCUUCGACGAGUCGAGUAGUUUGGGAAUGCUGCUCUAAAUGGGAGGUAGACCCCUUCUAAAGCUAAAUACCGGCCAGAGACCGAUAGCGCACAAGUAGAGUGAUCGAAAGAUGAAAAGCACUUUGAAAAGAGGGUUAAACAGUACGUGAAAUUGUUGAAAGGGAAGCGCUUGUGACCAGACGUGCGCCGGGCGCUCAGCGGGCGUUCUCGCCCGUGCACUCGCCCCGGCGCAGGCCAGCGUCGGUUCGGGAGGGGGGACAAAGGCAUCAGGCACGUAGCUCCCCCGGGAGUGUUAUAGCCUGGCGCGCCAUGCCCCCGCCUGGACCGAGGUUCGCGCUCCGCAAGGACGCUGGCGUAAUGGUCCCCAGCGGCCCGUCUUGAAACACGGACCAAGGAGUCGAGGUUUUGCGCGAGUGUUUGGGUGUCAAACCCGCACGCGUAAUGAAAGUGAACGCAGGUGGGAGCUUCGGCGCACCACCGACCGAUCCUGAUGUUCUCGGAUGGAUUUGAGUAGGAGCGUAGGGCCUCGGACCCGAAAGAUGGUGAACUAUACUUGGAUAGGGUGAAGCCAGAGGAAACUCUGGUGGAGGCUCGCAGCGGUUCUGACGUGCAAAUCGAUCGUCAAAUCUGAGUAUGGGGGCGAAAGACUAAUCGAACCAU
rnacentral:rRNA from 1 species